CAGUCCGCCACGUGGGACACCUCCACCGGGGCCGUUGCCGCGCGGUUACCCUGACCGCGUGCACCCUGGACACAGAAGGGGUGUAAAGCCGACAGCCGUCGCAUUCCAGGGAGCUCAGUCAUG
rnacentral:sRNA from 15 species